AAGGGAUGAAGCAUUAGCUUUUGGGAUCAUAUAAUUUAAGGGAGACGACCCAAGCCCAUGAUCAAUCAGCCAUUCAAGGUCUCGGCCUGAAGGACAUGCGUGCAUAAGCAAGCCCAUGCAUGCGCGAGGUGAAUAUAUUGCACAUGCAGCCACUUUGGAAGUGUGUGCAUGCGAGGAGGCCAACCCGCUCACCCAAUUCUGCAACCAGCGAACAUCGACCAGCAAGCUAACAGGCCGUGUGCAC
rnacentral:lncRNA from 1 species